rnacentral:tRNA from 1 species
UCUAGGGUGGUGUAAAUGGUUAAUGUGCUUGGCUGCUAACCGAAAGAUUGAUGGUUCAAAUCCACUCACAAGAA